GUCGCGUCCCCUCUGGCCUCUGCCUUCUGUGCUGUGGCCUGUGGGCCUCUGCUCUUCAUCUGUUCUCGACUUCUGGUCGCGCCUCCUCUGAUCCUCUCCUUCCGAGUUCCGAACAGCUGAAGGCCUGAAGCAAGCGCUUGUGAGCUUGUCCAUUGGUAGGAAGACGCGUCUCUUCCACUUGCGCCAAGCUCCGGCUCCGCCUCAGCUUCCCGCAGCGUGCUUGGUCUCGAUCCGAAGGGGCGGUCUAGGUCGCUUUCGUUUCAACCUGACUAUUUCUGGGGGGCAAUUUGAAGAUUUGGACCUUUGAUGGUUAAUGGAUCAUCAUAAGUAACAGGAUCAUUUCCUGUUCUGUUGCCUUGUCGUUGGACUAUACAAGAACACAUCCGGACACUGUUCUUUUCUUUGAUAGAUGGAAUGAAAACGACAGGUGUACCAUUCCUGUCAAGACAAAUUAAGGAAGUCAAGGAGCACGGGGCUCUUGCACUGGGGGCACCGAGGGUCAUCCUGAGGGAGCAUGACGUAGAUGAAGCAGCGAGGGCAGGCGGCAAGCACCAUAGACGUUGCCUCGGGGCUGUUGGACCACUGCAGGCCGUGCUCGUUCUCUGACGACAGGCACGAGCUCGGGGACGACUCCUCGUCGGCCAUCGCCCUGUUGGAGGAGUUCCCUCUUGCCGGCAGCGAGAGGUUCAGCUUCAGGUCAAGGCCCCUUGAAGAGUUCUUCUUGUUGCUGCGGCUCAUCUUCGAAGGUACCCUCUGUCUGCGCACAUCAAAGCGUUGAACUGGCUAAUUAGCAAAGGACGGCAGGAGGCGUGCAGAUGAAAGUGAAAGCGACAGGGCAGGAAUGCUAGGAGCGUGUUUCGUUGGUGUGGUUGGAACAGAGAUGACAAGUAUUUAUAGGGGGAGGGAGAUGGACGGGGAGAGGUCAAUUGGUUUUGUUUAAUGCAGCAGUAUUACUUCUCUCUGUCUCUCAUGUACACUCAGAGGCAUUUUAUUACCCAGCAAAUCAUGGUUGGAGAGUGGCAACGUAAGGGUUGAAUAAUCUGUCAUCUGUGCUGGGUGGAAGAGAAGUGCGAGGUGAGAGGGCUGGUCAUGCACACAAAGUAGGCAAUCUAAAAGGAGGAAACGGAGGCUGGGGCAUCUAGUUACAGUUGUUUUGAUCUGAUUUUCUUUUCUCUUACCCUGAAGAGGAAAAUCAGUGAUGGAUCUUUCUUUUAUUUUGGUUUUGAACGUGGUAGCCAGUAGUUGUUAGAUUGCUACUGAUAGUAAUAGCUCUUAACACACCUUUUUUGCUGUCAUACUCUCAUAACUAUGAGAGAGUGGGCAGUUUUCUUACUGCAUUGAUUCUUUUUAAAAUUAUGUUUGGUUGAAAGUUGAAACAAAUAAUACUGUAGUAAUUUAAACAUUCCAGAUUUUGCGAGUGAA